rnacentral:rRNA from 1 species
CAGUUCGGAUUGUAGGCUGAAACUCGCCUACAUGAAGCUGGAGUUACUAGUAAUCGCAGAUCAGAAUGCUGCGGUGAAUGCGUUCCCGGGUCUUGUACACACCGCCCGUCACACCACGGAAGUUGGGGGCGCCCGAAGCCACUUAGCUAACCCUCUUGGGAAGCGAGUGUCGAAGGUGAAAUCAAUAACUGGGGUGAAGUCGUAACAAGGUAAC